GUUGCUACGAAAGGGCACUCUGGAUGGGACGUGCCGGGUGACAAACCGGAGGAAGGUGGGGAUGACGUCAAGUCCUCAUGGCCCUUAUAGGUGGGGCUACACACGUCAUACAAUGGCCGGUACAAAGGGCAGCCAACCGCGAGGGGGAGCCAAUCCCAUAAAGCCGGUCGUAGUCCGGAUCGCAGUCUGCAACUCGACUGCGUGAAGUCGGAAUCGCUAGUAAUCGUGGAUCAGUAUGUCACGGUGAAUACGUUCCCGGGUCUU
rnacentral:rRNA from 1 species